GGCUCGGUGGCGGGUGGUCCGCGUCUGCACUGUGUUUGUCGAUUACGUGUGAAUCUAGCAGACCUUGCCUGUUCGAUUCCAGCCCGAGCCG